rnacentral:rRNA from 1 species
UACGUAGGGACCAAGCGUUGUCCGGAUUUAUUGGGCGUAAAGGGCGCGUAGGCGGUCCGAUAAGUCCUGUGUGAAAUCCCUCGGCUCAACUGAGGAACUGCACGGGAGACUGUCGGGCUUGAGUUCGGGAGAGGGAAGGCGGAAUUCCGGGUGUAGCGGUGAAAUGACGUAGAUAUCCGGAGGAACACCGGUGGCGAAGGCGGCUUCCUGGACCGACACUGACGCUGAGGCGCGAAAGCUAGGGAGCAACGGG